UGAGGAACAUGACUUUCGGUGGGGGAUAGCCGGCCCAACGGCCGGGUAAUACCGCGUACGACCUUUCGGGGACAUCCCCGAGGGGUGAAAGCAGCAAUGCGCCGAAAGAGUGCCUCGCGGCCUAUCAGCUAGUUGGUGGGGUAAUGGCUCACCAAGGCGACGACGGGUAGCUGGUCUGAGAGGAUGGCCAGCCACAUUGGGACUGAGACACGGCCCAGACUCCUACGGGAGG
rnacentral:rRNA from 1 species